UACAGAGGGUGCGAGCGUUAAUCGGAAUUACUGGGCGUAAAGCGCGCGUAGGCGGCUUUGCAAGUCGGGUGUGAAAUCCCCAGGCUUAACCUGGGAACUUGCGAUUCGAGACUGACAUUGCUAGAGUAUGGGAGAGGGAAGUGGAAUUUCCGGUGUAGCAGUGAAAUGCGUAGAGAUCGUAAGGAAGACAGUGGACGAAGGCGAGUUCUGGACAGUUACUGACGCUGAGGCACGAAGGCCAGGGGAGCAAACGGG
rnacentral:rRNA from 1 species